rnacentral:rRNA from 1 species
CCUACGGGAGGCAGCAGUGGGGAAUAUUGCACAAUGGGCGGAAGCCUGAUGCAGCGACGCCGCGUGAGGGAUGACGGCCUUCGGGUUGUAAACCUCUUUCAGUAGGGAAGAAGCGUAAGUGACGGUACCUGCAGAAGAAGCGCCGGCUAACUACGUGCCAGCAGCCGCGGUAAUACGUAGGGCGCAAGCGUUAUCCGGAAUUAUUGGGCGUAAAGAGCUCGUAGGCGGUUUGUCGCGUCUGCCGUGAAAGUCCGGGGCUCAACUCCGGAUCUGCGGUGGGUACGGGCAGACUAGAGUGAUGUAGGGGAGACUGGAAUUCCUGGUGUAGCGGUGAAAUGCGCAGAUAUCAGGAGGAACACCGAUGGCGAAGGCAGGUCUCUGGGCAUUAACUGACGCUGAGGAGCGAAAGCAUGGGGAGCGAACAGGAUUAGAUACCCUGGUAGUCCAUGCCGUAAACGUUGGGCACUAGGUGUGGGGACAUUCCACGUUUUCCGCGCCGUAGCUAACGCAUUAAGUGCCCCGCCUGGGGAGUACGGCCGCAAGGCUAAAACUCAAAGGAAUUGACGG